GCCCUCGUAGCUCAGUGGAUAGAGCAACUGCCUCCGGAGCAGUGUGUCGCAGGUUCGACUCCUGUCGAGGGCGCCA
rnacentral:tRNA from 1 species